GACUCUUCGGGUUCGGGUUCCGGCUGGGGCUCGCCACCGCCGCACGGUCCGCGAAACUCGCCCAGGAAUAGCUCCAGGAAGCGCCGGGUCCGUAUGUGCGGAAAGAUACCACAGUGCGAAAACCUUCUACUGUCGAUGACAUUAGUAAGUAGUUUGCAGGGGAAGGCAUUCAACAUCUACAAAGGUGUGGAAACUCCUAGUCGUGGCAUUGGAAUUGGAACCCAGAUUGUCAGCUUCUAAAGCCUUUCUAGACCCUUUUUCCUGUACUCUUCUCUGACUUUGAAGACUCAGCAGUGUAAUACAUCUAUCAAGCCUUAUUUUCAAAAAGCUUUAUAGUGUAUGCGUUAUAUUCAUCCCCUUAAUCCUUAUAAUAGCGCCUCCAGGUAGAAGGUAUUACCAUGAUUCCAUUCCAUGGAUGAAAAAACUGAGACUUCAAGAUAUUGCGAUGCAACAAGGACUAAGCCAUCAGAUUUCCAGCACAUCAAGACACCCUUCUUGAGUGUCUGCAGGCAAGCUCCUCCAGUAUUCUUGCCUGGGAAACCCCAGGAACCGGGGGGCUACGUCCAUGGAGUCGCAAAAGAGUCCGACAUGACUUAGUGACUCAACAACAAAUAUAUACUUUAUUACAUAAUCUGUAUUUUUUGGUACAUUUUGUUUGCUCUUCUUCCCCAUCCCCCUGAGUCUCUAUUUUUGUAGACUGAAACUGAAACAACUUUAAAUUAUUCUAAUUUUCUUACCAAACUACACACAAACCUAUUAUUUUCAAGCCUUACUGAGGGGAGUGGGAGAGGGAGAAGCUGGGUUGUUAUACAGCUGUGUAGAUGACAGCAUCAUUACUGCAUACUGCCAUGUCCAUGGCAACAUAUAAUUCAGCAAAAAUAUGGUGAUUCUUUCUCUACUUUGAAAAACAUGUUCACAAAAUACCCACCCCAUCCUCUCCAUUUAUUCCUUCUGGAUUUCAGUUGGAUUUAGGAUCUGAAAUAACAUUUCUAGUCAGUUAUUAAUGGCAGAAGGAGUCUCCCUGCCAACUGUUUUCAUAUAAUACUGUAUUCUAAAUCCCUGAUGUGAUACUGUUAUUUUAAGAAUAAGUGGGUUGAGCUCACUAAUGUACAUUAUGGCAUCAUGUAAAAUAGACGUCCAUUCUCUUUCUUAGCUUGAGAUUAAAUAAUACAUGAUAGAAAGUGUAUACUGAG